UACGUAGGGGACGAGCGUUGUCCGGAAUUACUGGGCGUAAAGGGCGCGCAGGCUGUAGAUCAAGUCAGCUGUGAAAUGUCUGGGCUUAACCCGGGCAUGCGGUUGAAACUGAUGUACUGGAGUGCUGUAGAGGCAAGCGGAAUUCCGAGUGUAGCGGUGAAAUGCGUAGAUAUUCGGAGGAACACCAGUGGCGAAGGCGGCUUGCUGGGCUCUAACUGACGCUGAGGCCCGAAAGCGUGGGGAUCAAACAGGAUUAGAUA
rnacentral:rRNA from 1 species